GACGAACGCUGGCGGCGUGCUUAACACAUGCAAGUCGAACGGAAAGGCCCUGCUUUUGUGGGGUGCUCGAGUGGCGAACGGGUGAGUAACACGUGAGUAACCUGCCCUUGACUUUGGGAUAACUUCAGGAAACUGGGGCUAAUACCGGAUAGGAGCUCCUGCUGCAUGGUGGGGGUUGGAAAGUUUCGGCGGUUGGGGAUGGACUCGCGGCUUAUCAGCUUGUUGGUGGGGUAGUGGCUUACCAAGGCUUUGACGGGUAGCCGGCCUGAGAGGGUGACCGGCCACAUUGGGACUGAGAUACGGCCCAGACGCCUACGGGAGGCAGCAGUGGGGAAUAGUGCACAAUGGGCGGAGGCCUGAUGCAGCAACGCCGCGUGCGGGAUGACGGCCUUCGGGUUGUAAACCGCUUUCGCCUGUGACGAAGCGUGAGUGACGGUAAUGGGUAAAGAAGCACCGGCUAACUACGU
rnacentral:rRNA from 1 species